rnacentral:rRNA from 1 species
AUUGAACGCUGGCGGCAGGCCUAACACAUGCAAGUCGAACGAGUGGCGGACGGGUGAGUAAUGUCUGGGAAACUGCCUGAUGGAGGGGGAUAACUACUGGAAACGGUAGCUAAUACCGCAUACCAUCGGAUGUGCCCAGAUGGGAUUAGCUAGUAGGUGGGGUAAAGUCUCCCCUCGGCGACGAUCCCUAGCUGGUCUGAGAGGAUGACCAGCCACAGUGGAACUGAGACACGGUCCAGACUCCUACGGUAGGCAGCAGUGGGGAAUAUUGCACAAUGGGCGCAAGCCUGCUGCAGCCAGGCCGCGUGUAUGAAUAAGGCCUUCGGGUUGUAAAGUACUUUCAGCGGGGAGGCGUUACCCGCAGAAGAAGCACCGGCUAACGAAGUGCCAGCAGCCGCGGUAAUUC